GAUCCUGGCUCAGGACGAAUGCUGGCGGCGCGCCUAACACAUGCAAGUCGAAUGAGCGAGAGAGAGCUUGCUUUCUCGAGCGAGUGGCGAACGGGUGAGUAACGCGUGAGGAACCUGCCUCAAAGAGGGGGACAACAGUUGGAAACGACUGCUAAUACCGCAUAAGCCCACGACCCGGCAUCGGGUAGAGGGAAAAGGAGCAAUCCGCUUUGAGAUGGCCUCGCGUCCGAUUAG
rnacentral:rRNA from 1 species